GACGAACGCUGGCGGCGUGCCUAAUACAUGCAAGUCGAACGAAGUGGCGCACGGGUGUGUAAUAUAUAGUUAAUCUGCCCUACACAGAGGAACAACAGUUGGAAACGGCUGCUAAUACAUCAUAGUGUAGGAUGAGACUAUAUCGUAUCAGCUAGUUGUUAAGGUAAUGGCUUACCAAGGCUAUGACGCGUAACUGGUCUGAGAGGAUGAUCACUAACAUUGGAACGGAGACACCGUCCAAACUCCUACGGGAGGGAGCAGUAAGGAAUAUUGCGCAAUGGGGGAAACCCUGACGCAGCAACGCCGCGUAAAGGAUGACACUUUGCGGAGCGUAAACUCCUAUUAUCAGGAAAGCGGUACCUGAUGAAUAAGCACCGGCUAACUCCGUGCCAGCCGCCGCGGUAAUAC
rnacentral:rRNA from 1 species